GUGGGGAAUAUUCCGCAAUGGACGAAAGUCUGACGGAGCAACGCCGCGUGAGUGAUGAAGGUUUUCGGACUGUAAAGCUCUGUUGUUUAGGACGAAAGUGCCUGUUGCGAACAGUUACAGGUAUUGACGGUACUAAACGAGGAAGCCACGGUUAACUACGUGCCAGCAGCCGCGGUAAUACGUAGGUGGCAAGCGUUGUCCGGAAUUAUUGGGCGUAAAGAGCAUGUAGGCGGAGAUUUAAGUCUGUUGUGAAAAUGCGGGGCUCAACCCCGUAUUGCGAUGGAAACUGAAUUUCUUGAGUGCAGGAGAGGAAAGGGGAAUUCCCAGUGUAGCGGUGAAAUGCGUAGAUAUUGGGAGGAACACCAGUGGCGAAGGCGCCUUUCUGGACUGUGUCUGACGCUGAGAUGCGAAAGCCAGGGUAGCGAACGGGAUUAGAUACCCCUGUAGUCC
rnacentral:rRNA from 1 species